rnacentral:rRNA from 1 species
CCUACGGGCGACAGCAGUGAGGAAUAUUGGUCAAUGGACGAGAGUCUGAACCAGCCAAGUAGCGUGAAGGAUGACUGCCCUAUGGGUUGUAAACUUCUUUUAUAUGGGAAUAAAACGUUCCACGUGUGGGAUUUUGUAUGUACCAUAUGAAUAAGGAUCGGCUAACUCCGUGCCAGCAGCCGCGGUCAUACGGAGGAUCCGAGCGUUAUCCGGAUUUAUUGGGUUUAAAGGGAGCGUAGGUGGAUUGUUAAGUCAGUUGUGAAAGUUUGCGGCUCAACCGUAAAAUUGCAGUUGAAACUGGCAGUCUUGAGUACAGUAGAGGUGGGCAGAAUUCGUGGUGUAGCGGUGAAAUGCUUAGAUAUCACGAAGAACUCCGAUUGCGAAGGCAGUUCACUGGACUGCAACUGACACUGAGGCUCGAAAGUGUGGGUAUCAAACAGGAUUAGAUACCCGAGUAGUC